UCCACUGCAUUCUAUUGAGUACAUGUGAGUCAGAAGCCCAUCCUGUUUUAAGGGGAGAGGAAUUACACUCCACCUCUCAAUGGGUGAAUGAACAGACAAAAGAUAUUGAAAGCCGACUCCAGCAAACAAUGCAGAUAACUCUGCAGGAUGACAAUGGAUCCGGAAUAGGAAAUGUUACAAUGGUAACAGCCAGCUGAGACCUGACCAGGGGCCCGGAGACAUUUCCAAGAGGAUGGAGGAGCCCUUCUCAGCUACAUCUCAGAAAUAAAUGCACAGCCUUCUAAGGGACUACUGUGAAAGACAAGGUGUUCUGGACUACAUAUUACAAAAGUGCCAUGUUUUACUAUGAAACCUGUCUCAUUGCCU
rnacentral:lncRNA from 1 species